rnacentral:rRNA from 1 species
UAUCAAUAAGCGGAGGAAAAGAAACCAACAGGGAUUGCCCCAGUAACGGCGAGUGAAGCGGCAGCAGCUCAAAUUUGAAAUCCGGCCCCCGGGGCCCGAGUUGUAAUUUGCAGAGGAUGCUUCGGGCGAGGCGCCUUCCGAGUUCCCUGGAACGGGACGCCGCAGAGGGUGAGAGCCCCGUCUGGUCGGACGCCGAGCCCGCGUGAAGCUCCUUCGACGAGUCGAGUAGUUUGGGAAUGCUGCUCAAAACGGGAGGUAUAUGUCUUCUAAAGCUAAAUACCGGCCAGAGACCGAUAGCGCACAAGUAGAGUGAUCGAAAGAUGAAAAGCACUUUGGAAAGAGGGUUAAAAAGUACGUGAAAUUGUUGAAAGGGAAGCGCCCGCGACCAGACUUGGGCCCGGCGGAUCACCCGGCGUUCUCGCCGGCGCACUCCGCCGGGCGCAGGCCAGCAUCGGUCCGGCGCGGGGGACAAAGGCUCUGGGAACGUGGCUCCCCCGGGAGUGUUAUAGCCCACCGCGCAAUGCCCUGCGCCGGACCGAGGAACGCGCACCGCAAGGAUGCUGGCGUAAUGGUCGUCGGCGACCCGUCUUGAAACACGGACCAAGGAGUCGUCUUCGUAUGCGAGUGUUCGGGUGUCAAACCCCUACGCGGAAUGAAAGUGAACGCAGGUGAGAGCCUCGGCGCAUCAUCGACCGAUCCUGAUGUCCUCGGAUGGAUUUGAGUAGGAGCAUACGGGGCCGGACCCGAAAGAAGGUGAACUAUGCCUGCGUAGGGUGAAGCCAGAGGAAACUCUGGUGGAGGCUCGCAGCGGUUCUGACGUGCGAAUCGAUCGUCAAACGUGGGCAUGGGGGCGAAAGACUAAUCGAACCUUC